rnacentral:rRNA from 1 species
UACGUAGGGUGCAAGCGUUGUCCGGAAUUAUUGGGCGUAAAGAGCUCGUAGGCGGUCUGUCGCGUCUGCUGUGAAAACCCGAGGCUCAACCUCGGGCUUGCAGUGGGUACGGGCAGACUAGAGUGCGGUAGGGGAGAAUGGAAUUCCUGGUGUAGCGGUGGAAUGCGCAGAUAUCAGGAGGAACACCAAUGGCGAAGGCAGUUCUCUGGGCCGUAACUGACGCUGAGGAGCGAAAGCGUGGGGAGCAAACAGG